AAAAAAGUAGAGCUAUACCCUCGUACCUUUUGCAUCAUGGUCUAACUAGUUCAAUCAAGCAAAAUGAAUUUUAAGUUUGACUUCCCGAAACUAGGUGAGCUACUUAAAAACAGCCUUAGGGCCAACCCGUCUCUGUUGCAAAAGAGUGGGAAGAUUUUUAAGUAGAGGUGACAGACCUACCGAACCUAGAGAUAGCUGGUUAUUCAGGAAAAGGAUUUAAGUCCUACCUUAAGUUUACCGUUCAUAAUAAUACACAAUUAACUUUAAGAGCUAUUCAAAUAAGGUACAGCCUAUUGAAACAGGAUACAACCUCCACAGCAGCCACCUUACAAAAAGCGUUAAAGCUUCAUUGUUUUUUAACAAAAAUACCAUUAAUCAACUGUAACCCCUUCACCUGUACUGAAUGAUCUCAUAAUUAUAUGAGAGCCUAUAUGUUAGAACUAGUAACAAGAAGAAGCCCUUCUCCAAAAUGUAAGCAUGAGCCAAAAUGAACUAUUCAUUGGCAUUUAAAGUUAUAAACCUAUUGUAGCAACUUAACAAGAAAAAUCUACAACUGCAAACGUCAACCUUACACCAGCACAUUUAUGGAAAGAUAAAAAGAAUAGGAAGGAACUCGGCAAACAACUAACCCCGCCUGUUUACCAAAAACAUCGCCUCCUGAUUACCCAUAGGAGGUCCAGCCUGCCCAGUGACUAAGUUAAACGGCCGCGGUACCCUAACCGUGCAAAGGUAGCGCAAUCACUUGUUCUUUAAAUGAGGACUAGUAUGAACGGCAUCACGAGGGUUAUGCUGUCUCCCUACUCUACUCAGUGAAACUGAUCUCCCCGUGAAGAAGCGGGGAUAAAGAUAUAAGACGAGAAGACCCCAUGGAGCUUUAAACUCAGUGCCAACUGCCCUAAUAAUAGCCUAUUACCUUUGCAGCCAUGGUUACUAGUUUUCGGUUGGGGUGACCACGGAGUAAAAUUUAACCUCCACGAUGAAAGGAACUAAUAUCCUAACCUAUGAGCUACAGCUCUAAGUAUCAACAAAUUGACUAACUGACCCAAUUACUUGAUCAACGAACCAAGUUACCCUGGGGAUAACAGCGCAAUCCAUUUCAAGAGCUCAUAUCGACAAAUGGGUUUACGACCUCGAUGUUGGAUCAGGGUAUCCCAGUGGCGCAGCCGCUACUAAUGG
rnacentral:rRNA from 1 species